rnacentral:lncRNA from 1 species
CAUCGCUACAAGUUUCUUGGCACGUCUAGUGGUCGGGCCUUCUUGUCUUCUCAUUUUUUGAUCUCAGAAUCUUUAAAGUUUUCACCAUUACAUCAACAAUGGCAAACGAAAAGGCAAAAAAAAUUAUGAUUUGUCUUGAAGAGGUCCUUGCUGAACUUUUCCAUGCAACCAGGGUCCAAACAAAAAUUGAAAAAACUCAACUGAUUCCACCACUAGAUAAGUUCUCUAACAAAGGCAAAAUGAAAAUUACUUUCAAGAAGCCAAACUCUCGUUCUACAGAAAAUAUCAAGAGUUCGACGAGAUGCUCUCAUUCUAAUUUUGUCUCUAUUGAAAGAUCCUACAGACAUCACCAUAUACGUCCGAUUAUGAAGCAGCCGAGUCUACUCUUCCAAUCUGAACCAGCACAAAUUUCUCUUUGCACUACCACAAGUCCUUUUUCAUUUUUUUUUUCUCCUUGACAUUCUGGAGCGUGACAUGAGUACAAUGUUCUGUGGUUGACACAGCUGGUUUCCUUUGCAUUUUUCUCUAACGUGGUCUCUUGCGUUACACCACCCUCUGGGGCGGAGGCCAACUUGACAUACCAGCGAAGUAUGGACCUGCCACCUUAUCAUCACAAACCUUAAGAAAUGCCUACAAGUUGACAACAGGUCGAUUUAUGUGUUACCUGCCAUGUAGCAACACAGUAUGCUUCGCCUUGGACCGGGGGUAAAAAGCGGUUUCCGCACAACAUAGUCACCAACGUCAAAAUGCAAUCAUUACUUUAUAUAUAUAUAAACAACUUUGAUUAUUGAAUACAACACAAAUUCUCCUUCUCUUCCCCUCUCUUUCUCCAAUUUCUUUCCCUUUCUGCAUACUCUAUUAUAUAUUUUCUUAUAUGACUAUAGUUAUUAUAUAUACAUGCAUACAGCAUCAGUCAGAUUUGAUGAUGCAACACUCGAAGUCUGGAGAAGUAUAAUGGCAUUCAACUCAGGUACGAGUAUCGAAUACGAGACGUAUCUAAAAAUCAAAAAGUCCAAAUUCCGGACAUUGGUACAUAAUACGUCUUACAAAUUUUAAUUUUUUCCUCCAAAAAUUGACAUGUGAAAAGUUAAAUAAUAAUUAAGCGACAAAUUGUUAAAAGAUAGAACAUGCCACUUAAAAUCUACUAAGAAUUUAUACUAAAAC